GACGAACGCUGGCGGCGUGCUUAACACAUGCAAGUCGAACGGAGCACCCUUGAAGGAGUUUUCGGACAACGGAUAGGAAUGCUUAGUGGCGGACUGGUGAGUAACGCGUGAGGAACCUGCCUUUCGGAGGGGGACAACAGUUGGAAACGACUGCUAAUACCGCAUGAUACAUUGGUGUCGCAUGGCACUGAUGUCAAAGAUUUAUCGCCGAAAGAUGGCCUCGCGUCUGAGUAGCUAGUUGGUGAGGUAACGGCCCACCAAGGCGACGAUCAGUAGCCGGACUGAGAGGUUGGCCGGCCACAUUGGGACUGAGAUACGGCCCAG
rnacentral:rRNA from 1 species